GAUGAAUGCUAGCGGCAGGCCUAACACAUGCGAGUCGAGGGGUAACUAGAGUGAUAGCAAUAUUACUUUGGCUAGACCGGCGCACGGGUGCGUAACACGUAUGCAACCUACCUUAUACUGGGGAAUAACUUCGAGAAAUCGGCGCUAAUACCCCAUAACAUUGCGAAGAGGCAUCUCUUUGCAAUUAAAGCUCCGGCGGUAUAAGAUGGGCAUGCGUCCAAUUAGCUAGUUGGUGAGGUAACGGCUCACCAAGGCUACGAUUGGUAGGGGUUCUGAGAGGAUGAUACCCCCCACUGGUACUGAGACACGGACCAGACUCCUACGGGUGGCAGCAGUGAGGAAUAUUGCGCAAUGGACGAAAGUCUGACGCAGCCAUGCCGCGUGCAGGAUGACGGCCCUAUGGGUUGUAAACUGCUUUUGUACGGGAAUAAACCCUUCUACGUGUAGGAGGCUGAAGGUACCGUAAGAAUAAGCACCGGCUAACUCCGUGCCAGCAGCCGCCGUAAGAC
rnacentral:rRNA from 1 species